AUUGCCCGAGGUGGGAAAAUACGUUGCACCCACACACCCUAUGGGUUAAAAGAGAUCCUGCAGAAUGCGACGGCAGGCGGGCAUU
rnacentral:ncRNA from 1 species